rnacentral:rRNA from 1 species
UACGUAGGGGGCAAGCGUUAUCCGGAUUUACUGGGUGUAAAGGGAGCGUAGACGGCAGCGCAAGUCUGGAGUGAAAUGCCGGGGCCCAACCCCGGAACUGCUCUGGAAACUGUGAAGCUGGAGUGCAGGAGAGGUAAGCGGAAUUCCUGGUGUAGCGGUGAAAUGCGUAGAUAUCAGGAGGAACACCGGUGGCGAAGGCGGCCUGCUGGACGGCGACUGACGUUGAGGCUCGAAAGCGUGGGGAUCGAACAGG